UACGUAGGGUGCGAGCGUUGUCCGGAAUUAUUGGGCGUAAAGAGCUUGUAGGCGGUUUGUCGCGUCUGCUGUGAAAAGCCGGGGCUCAACUCCGGACUUGCAGUGGGUACGGGCAGGCUAGAGUGUGGUGGGGGAGACUGGAAUUCCUGGUGUAGCGGUGGAAUGCGCAGAUAUCAGGAGGAACACCGAUGGCGAAGGCAGGUCUCUGGGCCACUACUGACGCUGAGAAGCGAAAGCAUGGGGAGCGAACAGG
rnacentral:rRNA from 1 species